rnacentral:rRNA from 1 species
UACGUAGGGUGCGAGCGUUGUCCGGAAUUAUUGGGCGUAAAGAGCUCGUAGGCGGCUUGUCGCGUCGGAUGUGAAAGCCCGGGGCUUAACUCCGGGUCUGCAUUCGAAUACGGGCAGGCUAGAGUUCGGUAGGGAGAGUCGGAAUUCCUGGUGUAGCGGUGAAAUGACGGCAGAGUAUCAGGAGGAACACCGGUGGCGAAGGCGGAUCUCUGGGCCGAUACUGACGCUGAGGAGCGAAAGCGUGGGGAGCGAACAGG